UGGAUUAGGCUGCAAGUCGGGGGUAUCCCGCAAGGGGGAACCGGCGUAAGGGGCAGUAAGGCAUGGGUACCUACCCGGGGGUUCGGGAUAGCCAUCAGAGAUGGUGGGUAAUACCGGAUGACCUCGUGAGAGCAAAGAUUCAUCGCCCCCGGAGGGGCCCAUGUGAUAUUAGCUAGUUGGUGGGGUAACGGCCCACCAAGGCGAAGAUGUCUAGCGGGUGUGAGAGCACGACCCGCGCCACUCGCACUGAGACACUGGCGAGACACCUACGGGUGGCUGCAGUCGAGGAUCUUCGGCAAUGGGGGCAACCCUGACCGAGCGACGCCGCGUGAGCGAUGAAGGCCUUCGGGUUGUAAAGCUCUUUAGUGGGGGAGAAAAGCCGAAAGGUGUGAUCUAUCCCAAAAAUAAGCACGGGCUAAGUUCCGUGCCAGCAGCCGCGGUAAGACGAACCGUGCGAACGUUGUUCGGAAUCACUGGGCUUAAAGGGCGCGUAGGCGGGCUAUCAAGGUCUGGGGUGAAAUCCCACGGCUCACCCGUGGAACGGCCUCAAAUACUGACGGCUC
rnacentral:rRNA from 1 species